rnacentral:rRNA from 1 species
CCCUUAGAUGUUCUGGGCCGCACGCGCGCUACACUGAUGCAUUCAACGAGUCUAAAACCUGCUCUGAUAGGGGUGGGUAAUCUUUUGAAUGUGCAUCGUGAUUGGGAUAGAUGAUUGCAAUUUUUCAUCUUCAACGAGGAAUGCCUAGUAAACGCAAGUCAUCAGCUUGCAUUGAUUACGUCCCUGCCCUUUGUACACACCGCCCGUCGCUCCUACCGAUUGAAUGAUCCGAUGAAUAUCAUGGAUUGAGGAUUAUAGCAGGUUCGCCUGUCUUGAUCUUCGAGAAGUGAAGUAAAUCUUAUCAUUUAGAGGAAGUAAAAGUCGUAACA